GAGGGUGUAGCUCGGGUAGAGCGCGUGCUUCGCAUGCAUGAGGCCCUGGGUUCACUCCCCAGUGCUGCCA
rnacentral:tRNA from 1 species